GCCCUUUUAUGAGGUGACCAUAGAGCCAAUCCAGAAAUGAGCCUCCACACAUGAAGGUGUCUAUCCCACCGAGGACUGAGUGGUGCUAGGGUGGUUGGGUAGACCAAUUCCACAGGCUGCACCUAGAGCAGGAGCCAGGGAGCAGAACAUUAAUUAGGAAUGUGUGGGGCCUAUAAAACUAGGUAGCAGCCACAGAGAGGAGGAUUGAGAAGGAAGGGCAGUUAUUUUCUGGGAAGAGAGAGAGAGAGGGGAUUGUUUGGGGGUUGCAGGGAGAUAGUCUGCAGUUACUCCCUGUGAGGAGGAUUCUUGGAGCUCGUACAGCUAGAAAGAGAGAAGGGGAACUAGAGUGUAGGAAGCAGCCCAGGGAAGGGGCAGUGAGGGAAGGGAAAGGAAGUAUAAAGUUGCUGAGCUGAAGGUCCCUGGACUGGAACCUUGAGAAGAGGGCAGACCUGGGAUCCUCUAUGAGUCACUGAAGGAGUGGCACUAGGGCAGUGAAUGGGAAGAUUGCCUAGGACUGUGGAUGGCCUGUACCCUGGAAGGGGGAACACUGGGUGAGCUAGCCAGAGGGCUAAGUCAUGAAAGAGAUGCUGGGGGUCCUGGAGUGAGAGCAGAGCUGUUGACCAGAAGGAGAGAGAGAAUAGUGGUGUGCAAAUUGCAGAAGGGGGUGUCUACCUAAAGAGCUAAUCCUCAGAGUGACCAGGGAGGAGCACUAGACCAGUGGUUUUCGAAUAGUGCCUGUUACUUUAGGAUCUGAUCUUCAACUCCAAUCUUCUUGUCUUCUGUAUUUCAGAUAAAGCGGCUGGAUUACUCAAUCAACCACCUCUGGGAAGGAAUAUAUGGACCUUGAAGAUCUUCAAAUAGUUCAAAAUGUAGCAGACCAACUCCUGAGCAAUAAUGGCUACUGAGAGUACUGCAUCUCAGAGAUCUGCUCACUAUGAGUUCAAACAUGAAAGAUGCUGCGCACUCUGGCUCUGAUCCAGCAAAGCCCUUAAACUCAUGCUUUGCUUUAAGUGCACAAGUAGUCCUAUAGAAGUCAGACCACCCAUAUGCAGAAGUGUUUAAAAAAAACCUGACAAAACACUAUUCAAUUGAAAAAUGCUGUUUUGUUGAAACCAGAUUUUUUUUUUGAGGGAACGUAUAGGUUUCAAUGAAAACUUCAUCCAAAAGGAAUUUGUGGUCAAGAGUGCAAGAGACUGAGGGGUGAGACUAUCUUGAUAGCCCUGUGGCUAGCGUUCUCUCUUGGGACGUAGGAGAACCAGGUUCUUUGAAUCAGGCAGCGUGCCCUAGCCACAAGACUAUCGGGUGUCUGGGGUCAGUCUCUCUCUCCAAUUUUCAUGAAAUAUUUUGAAAGGUCUCAUUUUUGUUCCAUAAGGGAAUUAAAUUACAUCUCAAAACCUAAACAACUUUUGUGAAACAGAAUUUUUAUUUUCUGGCCAACCCUACUCAUGUGCUCAAAGUUAAUCAUGUGUAUGCUCGCAGUGGUCCAUAAUGACUUCCCAUGGGACAUCGGGUUAAUUCCAUGAUACAGUGCUCCUUAUCCUGAAAGCUUUUCAUGGUACAGGAUGAUGUUAUAUAGAACACAGGUCAGCCAACUGAAAAUGGACUGAAAUGGUAUGUGAAAAUGUAGGAAAAUGUUUGCAAAAAACUCCCAAUUUUGUCCUGGGCCAUUCAUGGUAAGAAAUGUUUGCCAGAUUUUCCUGAAAUGACCAGUACUA